GAACGGUAGCACAGAGAGCUUGCUCUCGGGUGGCGAGUGGCGGACGGGUGAGUAAUGUCUGGGAAACUGCCCGAUGGAGGGGGAUAACUACUGGAAACGGUAGCUAAUACCGCAUAACGUCUUCGGACCAAAGUGGGGGACCUUCGGGCCUCACACCAUCGGAUGUGCCCAGAUGGGAUUAGCUAGUAGGUGGGGUAAUGGCUCACCUAGGCGACGAUCCCUAGCUGGUCUGAGAGGAUGACCAGCCACACUGGAACUGAGACACGGUCCAGACUCCUACGGGAGGCAGCAGUGGGGAAUAUUGCACAAUGGGCGCAAGCCUGAUGCAGCCAUGCCGCGUGUAUGAAGAAGGCCUUCGGGUUGUAAAGUACUUUCAGCGGGGAGGAAGGCGGUGAGGUUAAUAACUUCACCGAUUGACGUUACCCGCAGAAGAAGCACCGGCUAACUCCGUG
rnacentral:rRNA from 1 species